ACAGUGGUGUCUCAGUGGUAGAAAUCUCACCUUCCAUGUGGGAGACCAGGGUUCAAUUCCCAGCCAAAGCA
rnacentral:tRNA from 1 species